ACUCAAUAGAUACCCAGGUAGUCCACGCCCUAAACGAUGUCUACUAGUUGUCGGGUCUUAAUUGACUUGGUAAACGCAGCUAAACGCGUGAAGUAGACCGCCUGGGGAGUACGGUCGCAAGAUUAAAACUCAAAGGAAUUGACGGGGACCCGCACAAGCGGUGGAUGAUGUGGAUUAAAUUCGAUGCAACGCGAAAAACCUUACCUACCCUUGACAUGGAAGGAAUCCCUGAGAGAUCGGGGAGUGCUCGAAAGAGAACCUUUACACAGGUGCUGCAUGGCUGUCGUCAGCUCGUGUCGUGAGAUGUUGGGUUAAGUCCCGCAACGAGCGCAACCCUUGUCAUUAGUUGCUACGAAAGGGCACUCUAAUGAGACUGCCGGUGACAAACCGGAGGAAGGUGGGGAUGACGUCAAGUCCUCAUGGCCCUUAUGGGUAGGGCUUCACACGUCAUACAAUGGUACAUACAGAGGGCCGCCAACCCGCGAGGGGGAGCUAAUCCCAGAAAGUGUAUCGUAGUCCGGAUUGUAGUCUGCAACUCG
rnacentral:rRNA from 1 species